rnacentral:misc_RNA from 1 species
AACUUUUAACAAUGGAUCUCUUGGUUCUGGCAUCGAUGAAGAACGCAGCGAAAUGCGAUACCUGGUGUGAAUUGCAGAAUCCCGUGAACCAUCGAGUUUUUGAAUGCAAGUUGCGCCCGAGGCCUUGUGGCCGAGGGCACGUCUGCCUGGGCGUCACGCCAAAAGACACUUCCACCGCAAUCCCGGUCUGCACGUGGUGUUUGGCCCCUCAUUCCAUAGUGUAUGGUGGGCCAAAGAGGAGGCUGCCGGCGGUGCCGGUCACAGCAGAUGGUGGAUGGCACAAGUUAUUCUCGGUGUUGUGAUCCUGACAACUCCCGGUCAUGUUAUGCCCCUUUUGGACCCAUGGUUUGGAGCGUAUGUAGCUCGGACCGCGACCCCAGGUCAGUCGGGACUACCCGCUGAAUUUAAGCAUAUCAAUAAGCGGAGGAUGGAUCCUUUCCCU